ACCUUCUUCCUCCUCUCUUCUUGCUCUGUCCAUCGAGGGGAGCUGGAAGAGGCUUCACCUGCUUGACUGAUGGGGGCUCCUGCCAUUUAUCAAACUUUCGCUCGAUCUCUUCCUUCAAAUCAUACCCGUCCUCCUCUUCUCCUGCCUCCUCCAAGUCGGCAAGCAAUUCAUCUGCCAGAGACAUCUACGAACAGUGCGAGAAAACAAAACGAAUUAGAUCAAAACAUCGUUUAUUUGCAGAAAGAGGUUUUUAAAAUAAUGAUCCGAGUAAAUGAGCAUAAACUUACAUUUCCAGAGCGCUUCUUUUCUCCUCACCUCAAUAAAACAUGCGAA